GAUCAUGGCUCAGGAUGAACGCUAGCGGCAGGCUUAACGACAUGCAAGUCGAGGGGUAUAGUUCUUCGGAACUAGAGACCGGCGCACGGGUGUCGUAACGCGUAUGCAAUCUACCUUUCACAAAGGGAUAGCCCAGAGAAAUUUGGAUUAAUACCUUAUAGUAAUACGACUUGGCAUCAAGAUGUAUUUAAAGAUUUAUCGGUGAAAGAUGAGCAUGCGUCCCAUUAGCUUGUUGGUAAGGUAACGGCUUACCAAGGCAACGAUGGGUAGGGGUCCUGAGAGGGAGAUCCCCCACACUGUACUGAGACACGGACCAGACUCCUACGGGAGGCCAGCAGUGAGGAAUAUUGGACAAUGGGCGCAAGCCUGAUCCAGCCAUGCCGCGUGCAGGAUGACGGUCCUAUGGAUUGUAAACUGCUUUUGUACAGGAAGAAACCCUUUCACGUGUGGAAGAUUGACGGUACUGUAAGAAUAAGGAUCGGCUAACUCCGUG
rnacentral:rRNA from 1 species